rnacentral:rRNA from 1 species
UACAGCAUGCACCGGGUCAGCCGGCUACCCAAUUUGAAACAAGUUAACAAAACAUAACUUUUUGAGAUGGAUAACUUGGCUCCUGUUUCGUAGAAGAACGCAGCAAGAUGUGAUACUAAAUGUGACACGCGAAGUUUGUGAACCAUUCUAUUUUCCAACGCACAUUGCACCAUUAUUUGGUAUUCUCUUAUGGGUGUUGAUAUUUUAACAACGACAAUCGCUGGACCCCGGCUCUUGUCAAUGCAUGUAAGAACAAUCAAAAUAUACCUUAACCCCAUAUAGAGAAGGACAACUCCCUGGAUUUAAGCAUAUAACUAAGGGAAGGAAAAGAAACUAAAAAGGAAAGGCAUAGUAACGGCGAGUGAACAGCCUAUAGCCCGCGUCCCAAUCUUCGGAAAUGUGGACUUCAACACCAGCAUAAUGCAAACCGCCUUGGAAGAGGUGACCAUAGAGGGUGAUAGUCCCAUGCAACAGUGCGUAAGGUGGCGAAAGCGUGAGUAGAAAUGCUUGGGAUUGCAUUUCGAACGGGAGGUAAACUACUCCCAAGGCUAAUUAUCAACAGGAGACCGAUAGUAAACAAGUACCGUGAGGGAACGUUGAAAAGAACUUUGGAAAGAGAGUGAAAUAGUCCUUGAAAUCUUAAAAAGGGAACCUAUGCGUUAUGAACAUCUAGUACGCUUGCGUACUGGGUACCUUUACAGCAUUGCGAUCGGGUAAAUAAAAUCAACUGCUGUCUGGCAUUAGCCAGGAGCUUUGUUAUUUUCCUUGCUUGAAUGUCAAGAUAGUUGCCUCUGACACU